CACGGGUCAUUUACUGUGAACUCUCGGAGUCUGAGAGGGAUUUCUACGAGGCGCUAUUUAAAAGAUCCAAGGUCAAAUUUGAUCAAUUCGUUGCACAAGGCAAAGUUCUUCAUAAUUAUGCUUCCAUCCUGGAACUGCUUUUGCGUCUUCGACAGUGUUGUGAUCACCCAUUUUUAGUGAUGAGUCUCUUGUUUUUUAUGCAUCAAGUCGAGGUGAUACAGCGGAAUACUCUGAUCUGAAUAAGCUCUCUAAACGUUUCCUUAGUGGAAAGUCUUCU